rnacentral:rRNA from 1 species
UACGUAGGACGCAAGCGUUGUCCGGAAUUAUUGGGCGUAAAGAGCUCGUAGGCGGCGUGUCACGUCGGUUGUGAAAGCCCGGGGCUUAACUCCGGGUCUGCAGUCGAUACGGGCAGGCUAGAGUUCGGUAGGGGAGAGUCGGAAUUCCUGGUGUAGCGGUGAAAUGCGCAGAUAUCAGGAGGAACACCGGUGGCGAAGGCGGUUCUCUGGGAAUAUCCUGACGCUGAGGAGCGAAAGUGUGGGGAGCGAACAGG